rnacentral:sRNA from 1 species
AGAAAAGUAGGUGCCGCCCCGCACAGGGGCAACGCUAAUAGACCGAUAACAAAGCAAGGAAAGGCCAAAAACCCCACCAGCCUAUC